rnacentral:rRNA from 1 species
GAUGAACGCUGGCGGCGUGCUUAACACAUGCAAGUCGAGCGAAGCGCUUAUGAAAGAUUCUUCGGAUGAUUUCAUUUGUGACUGAGCGGCGGACGGGUGAGUAACGCGUGGGUAACCUGCCUCAUACAGGGGGAUAACAGUUGGAAACGACUGCUAAUACCGCAUAAGCGCACAGUACCGCAUGGUACGGUGUGAAAAACUCCGGUGGUACAAGAUGGACCCGCGUCUGAUUAGCUUGUUGGUGAGGUAACGGCCCACCAAGGCGACGAUCAGUAGCCGACUUGAGAGAGUGAUCGGCCACAUUGGGACUGAGACACGGCCCAAACUCCUACGGGAGGCAGCAGUAGGGAAUAUUGCACAAUGGGGGAAACCCUGAUGCAGCGACGCCGCGUGAAGGAAGAAGUAUUUCGGUAUGUAAAGCUCUAUCAGCAGGGAAGAAAGUGACGGUACCUGAAUAAGAAGCCCCGGCUAACUACGUGCCAGCAGCCGU